rnacentral:rRNA from 1 species
UGUCUGGGAAACUGCCUGAUGGAGGGGGAUAACUACUGGAAACGGUAGCUAAUACCGCAUAACGUCGCAAGACCAAAGAGGGGGACCUUCGGGCCUCUUGCCAUCAGAUGUGCCCAGAUGGGAUUAGCUAGUAGGUGGGGUAAUGGCUCACCUAGGCGACGAUCCCUAGCUGGUCUGAGAGGAUGACCAGCCACACUGGAACUGAGACACGGUCCAGACUCCUACGGGAGGCAGCAGUGGGGAAUAUUGCACAAUGGGCGCAAGCCUGAUGCAGCCAUGCCGCGUGUGUGAAGAAGGCCUUCGGGUUGUAAAGCACUUUCAGCGAGGAGGAAGGUGGUGAACUUAAUACGUUCAUCAAUUGACGUUACUCGCAGAA